GUCUAUGGCCAAAGCACCCUGAUUGCCUGAUCUGGUCUGAUCUCAGAAGCUAAGCAGGGCCGGGCCUGCCUAGUUG
rnacentral:rRNA from 1 species